GGCAACCCAAAAACAAGUGAGAACCCAUGGAAAUGGUUACCAGGGAGAUGUCAACAUUCCAGGAAUAAGAAUGCAUUGCAGGUCAGUUGGCUGGACCUCAUUGUGACCUGGGAGCCCUGCAUGAUGAAGGGAUGAUGGGUGAGUUACUAAGGCUGACUUUUUCCUGAGGACAUUGAGUUAGGGAAGUGGCCUCUCCUUGAGGGAAGGAGCCAGAUGGCUUCUCAGAGAACAACCACCACAUUCAAAAUAUUCUCAAGUUUCCUUUGUUUCUUCUUGUCUGCGUCUGAUGUCCAGGACGUUACUCCACAGGAAAAGGUUAAUAUGAGAUCAAGAUCGGCCAGAUGCUGGGGAUGCCUUGGUGAAAAAAUUAGAGCCACGCAAAGGAAGUCUUGUGUUCUUGAAAGAGGAAUCAGACAAAUACACAGAAUGUCACCAAGAGCUGUUUUGUCUGUCAACAAGAGAGACAGAGACUGCAGACGGCUACAGAGAAGAUUCUACACAGGGAAGGCCCCACACAUAGCUGGCUACAUCAACUACAAAGGAUAUCCUUUGGGGAGGGAGUUCUGAGGACUGCUUUCUACUGAGACUUCAAUCUAUAUGGUGUAUGGCUCCCAACAGACUGAUCACUGUGGUAACUAUAAACCUGAUGGUCAAAUGCUUAGAAAAGUCCCUGGUUAUAAUAGAAAAAAUAUGAAGGUAGCAUGCCCAACAUAGCAUGCAUUUAGGCUAUGCAUAAGUAUAUAUCACUCUUGUUUUUAUGGACAGAAAGCUAUUAACAGAAUAGGGAAAAACAAUGGGCCUCUGGUGGGAUUAAAGGAGUUGGCGUCACAUGGUAGAUCCAAGUUCCCCUGGGGAAUGACCCCACCCGAAACAAGGAAGGCUGUGAGAGGCCUUAUGGCACUCUCAAAUUAAAUUACAUCUACCUGUAAACACCAAUCAUCUAACUCUAGUGUGGGGACCCAAUAUUUUUUGCAAAACAUUUAUUCUAACUGCAUUCAGGCCAUUAGUACACAACAGCAAUGAUAUGCAUGGUAGAUUAAACAACACCGGCUCAUAAGACAGAAAAGGGCCUCAGGAGAGAUAGGUGCAGGUCUAGGUAUCCUGGGACAAGCUGAGUUUACUGUUAAUGUGGAGCAGUAUUCGGAGGAAAAAGAUUUAUUAACUAGAAGAGACAGAACAGAGGAAAUUCUCUUCCAGGAGGACGGCAAAGGAUGGGAGUCAGGGCGGAAAGAUAACGAGGCUUUAGCAAAGUGGAUCAGGCUGGCUCAACAAACAAUGCUGGGCACUGCUAACACCCAGCCCAGGGUUUGUACCUGACUCAACAGGGCCUCUUGACUCUUUUAAUACAGAUGGAAGCUGAAGUGGCCGUGGGGCAGUGACCUGCUAUUCUGGCUGCUGAGGUCCAAAGACCCACCCAUGGGAGUCUGAGGGCCUUCCAAACUUAUGGAAGUUCUCUGAGGGCACUUGUAGUGUUACACUGAUAGACUAUGACUGCUCUCCCCCACAGCAUAGGUCAAAAUGAAAUAUAUCCUGCAGUACGGUUGGUAGAAAUAGGAACCAUCUAAAUACCACCUGUGUCCUCCCUGCAGGAAAGAGGUGGGCCUUGCUAUAUAAUAACACACCAUAGAAACCAGCCUCAGUACAAGCCUGUGAGAUGAGGUGGGGUGAUUCCUUUUGUCCUCAAUUAACUAGAAACCCAGAAAUAACUAACAUGGCCAAUUGUAAUAAUGCCCUUCCUUAAUAAUAUCUGACAAAUGGCCAAGAGUGGAUUCCACUGGGAAGACAAGACAAAUUCCUCUGUAAUUCUUACUGAUUUAUCCUUUUAUGAAACUGAGUUGUCCCAUGAUCAUACUGUGAUGUGGUGUCAUACUGGUGUUGUAAGUAAGAUUCAAUUACCUAGUAUAAAUAAAUCUUACGAUACUACUGAUAUUGGUGAUUCAACGUAUUGGGAGAUUGAGUUAAAGUCUCUCCAGGAUGUAAUACUUAUGAAAAAUGACUGACUUGAAGAGAAAUAGGAUUUAGCUAACCAUCAGCUGAUUUCUGUGCUAAAUAGUUCUGCGAAACUUAUUAUAAGAUACAAAGAGCAAUAGAAUGCACAAAUUAGUGCGAGAAUAUGAAAAUAUUGGUAAUGGUUUUAUAGGAUAAAUUAGCUGUUUCUUUACAUCUAUCCCUACUCCACCCUGAGGGAUCAGAGAGCUUCUGGGUAAUACAUACAUCUGUGUGCUGGGUGAGGGAGGCACACCCCUAUUCCAUGCGGACAGAAACCUCCAUGCUCAGGGCCCUUCUAGACCUUGCCCUGUGUAUCUCUCCAUUUGGCUGUUCAUUUGUAUCCUUUAAAAUGAACUUUGUAUAAGCCUUUGUAAUAAAUUGGUAAUAGUAAGUAAACCAUUUUCCUGGGCUCUGUGAGCUGCUUUAGCAAAUUGUUUAACUCAGGAGGGGAUUAUGAGAACCUCUAAUUUGUAGUCAAGCUAGAUAGACGUUGUGGGGAAACUGAGGACCUACCACUUGCGAUUGCAUCUGAAGUGGGGGGCAGUCUGAUGGGGCUACAACCUUAACCUGUGCAGAUACUAAUUCCAGUUAGUGUCAGAGUUGAAUUGAAUCAUAGGUCAUCCAGCUGGUAUAGGAGAAUUGUUCAGUAUGGGAAAAAAAAACAACCCAUAUCUGACUACAGUAGUGCUGAAUGUGAGUAUAGAGACAAACAGUUGAUUUUUUUCUAUACAUUUUAUGUCAGAAGUGAAGCAUGAAUUGAGAAUGGUGUGAGUAUAGAAGGAAAAGCAGUUUGUGUUUCUCUAUCUACAAGCCCAGGCCGCAUGGAGAGAUACGUGCAGGUUUUCUAGUUGACAACCCCAGCCAAAAUCUCAGCUGAUAGAGUCAACCUCCAACUCUAAGUGAGUAAACCUUCAAAUGCUUCCAAGUCCCUGCCUUUGAACCUCAGCCAAUCCUGAGUGGAACAGAGAUGAGCUAACCUACCAAGCCUGCUGAAAUUACAGAUUAUGAGAAAACUAAAUAUAGCCGUUAUUUUAAACCACUGCAUUAUGAGGUAAUUAUUAUGCAGCCACACAAACGGGAAUGGAACCCAUUUUAUUCAAUGACAGCUUCUGUGACUUUGCUGAAGCCUUAAUAAUGAAUUACAUGGCAAGAAGUAGAUUUGCAUCUAUGAACAGAUCAAGAGGAAAGAAAUUGUCUUGUUAGAACAACAACUCUGUUUCAGGAAAAACAUUUUCUCUGGUAAAAGUUUCAGCAAUUGUGUUAGUUUCUGGUGGCUGUUGUAACAUUACCA
ensembl:lncRNA